rnacentral:misc_RNA from 1 species
ACACCUCAACUCUCAUGGUUUGCCAUGAUGAGCUUGGACUUUGGGGGUUUUGCUGGCCUAUGGUCGGCUCUCCUCAAAUGAAUCAGCUUGCCAGUGUUUUGGUGGCAUUCACGGGUGUGAUAACUAUCUACGCUCGUGGGUUCCUGCCAUGCAACCUUCAGUGAUGAAGGUUCGCUGGAGCUUAUAAAUGUCUCUCUCAGCGAGGACACCUUUUUGAA